rnacentral:rRNA from 1 species
AUUGAACGCUGGCGGCAGGCUUAACACAUGCAAGUCGAACGGGUGGCGGACGGGUGAGUAAUGAUUGGGAACCUUGCUUAUGGAGGGGGAUAACUACGGGAAACUGUAGCUAAUACCGCGUACCAUAGGAUGAGCCCAAGUGGGAGUAGGUAGUUGGUGAGGUAAAGGCUCACCAAGCCGACGAUCUCUAGCUGGUCUGAGAGGAUGACCAGCCACACUGGGACUGAGACACGGCCCAGACUCCUACGGGAGGCAGCAGUGGGGAAUAUUGGGCAAUGGGGGAAACCUGACGCAGCCAUGCCGCGUGAAUGAAGAAGGCCUUCGGGUUGUAAAGUUCUUUCGGUAGCGAAGCGUUAACUACAGAAUAAGCACCGGCUAACUCCGUGCCAGCAGCCGCGGUAAUUC